GGUGUCGUGGUGUAGUUGGUUAUCACGCCAGUCUAACACACCGAAGGUCUCCGGUUCGAGUCAUGGCGACGCCA
rnacentral:tRNA from 1 species